rnacentral:lncRNA from 10 species
UAGGAAACUGCCACCAUCACCCCAAACUUCAACAACCACUAUCCUGAUCAGCAGUCACUAAUAUCAAGAACUGUUCAUCCCAGCUGCUAAAUGAAAUCUUGGGCAGAACAGCAAAAGAAACUGUCAUCAGAGUGAACAGGCAACCUACAGGAUUGGAGGAAUUUUUUGCAAUCUACUCAUCUGAAAAAGGUCUAAUACCCAGAAUAUAUAAGGAACUUAAACAUAUUUACAAGAAAAAAACAAACAACCCCAUCAAAAAGUAGGCAAAUGAUAUGAAAAGACAUUCUCAAAAGAAGACAUUUAUGCAGCCAUAAAUAUCUGAAGAAAAGCUCAAUAUCACUGAUCAUCAGAGAAAUGCAAAUCAUAACCACAAUGAGAUACCAUCUCAUACCAGUCAGAAUGGUGAUUAUUAAAAAGUCAGGAAACAAUAGAUGCUGGCGAGGCUGUGGAGAAAUAGAAACACUUUUAUGCUGUUGGUGGGAAUGUAAAUUAGUUCAACCAUUGUGGAAAACAGUAUGGCAAUUCCUCAAGGAUAUAGAACCAAAAAUGCCAUUUGACCCAGCAAUCCCAUUACUGGGUAUAUACCCAAAGGAAUAUAAAUCAUUCUACUAUAGAGACACAUGCACACAUAUGUUUACUGCAGCACUAUUUACAAUAACAAAGACAUGGAACCAACCCAAAUGCCCAUCAGUGAUACACUGGAUGAAGAAAAUGUAGUACAUAUACACAUAUAUGCAGCCAUGAAAAGGAAUGAGAUCAUAUCUUUUGCAAGGACAUGGAUGAAGCUGGAAGCCAUCAUCCUCAUCAAACUAACACAGGAACAGGAAACCAAACACCACAUGUUCUCAUAAGUGGGAGUUGAACACUGAGAACACAUGGACACAGAGAGGGCAACAGCACAUACUAGGGCCUGUUGCAGGGGUUGAGGGGAGGGAACUUAGAGGAUGGGUCAAUAGGUGUAGCAAGCCACCAUGGCUCACGAUACCUAUGUAACAAAUCUGCACAUUCUGCUUAUGUAUCCUGUUUUUUUUUUUUUCUUAGAAGAAAUAAAGAAAAAAAAUCUUGGGCAGAGACAAUGGAUUUUCUAGUCAUUUUCAGGUAUUAAAAAGUCCAGACAAUUUUAUUACCAAAACUUCAAUAAUUUUGAAUUAAAACAUUCUUUAGUUUUGCUUUGACUCAGGCUUUAAAACUUGUAUGAAAAGUGUGGAGGGUAGAUCUUUUUUCUUGCUUUAUCUCCUGUUCUCCUUCUAGAUGCUGGUUCUAGUCUCAUCCACGGAUAGGCCUAGGGGUGAAGUUUAGAGAUAAGAAUCAGUGUUUUUGCUCCCUGUAUAUAGCAGAUUUCCAAAUGCAGGUUUCUUUCCUGUGGGACACUCCUGUCAUUUCUUCUGAGGUUUUUCCCUAUUCCCAUUGCUAGUGGCUCUUCCUCUUGUAGUCUGCUGACAGACAACAUCUUCUCCAGCUAGCAGCUGCCUAUGAUUCUCCCCUUAGUCCUCCAGCUGCACCCCACACCACUGCAGAAUCGAUGCUCUUAUCUGAGACACUUUUCUGUGACUCAGACUUGGCUAUUUUUCACAGUCCUCUUUUGCUGAUGGAACACAAACUUCUUGGCUUUCCAAAUUGUGGAAGCAAAGUCUGUUCCCAGUAUACUUACCACACGUUACCCUAGCUGUCUUCUUACCUUUUAUCUUUUUCUGGUAUGGGUCAGAAACUGUCCUCAAACUCCAGGGAACAUAUGGC